UUCUUGCAAUAGCGAUUGAAGUGAAAAUCCUUUUUCCUUAGAAAAAGAUUGUAACAAAAAGCGCGCCCCGAA
rnacentral:sRNA from 12 species